rnacentral:rRNA from 1 species
AGGGCACCACCAGGAGUGGAGCCUGCGGCUUAAUUUGACUCAACACGGGAAAACUUACCCGGCCCGGACACUGGAAGGAUUGACAGAUUGAGAGCUCUUUCUUGAUUCAGUGGGUGGUGGUGCAUGGCCGUUCUUAGUUGGUGGAGCGAUUUGUCUGGUUAAUUCCGAUAACGAACGAGACUCUAGCCUACUAAAUAGACCAGAGGCUUCUUAAAACACGUCUCUGGCUGCUUCUUAGAGGGACAGGCGGCGAUUCAGCCGCACGAAACAGAGCAAUAACAGGUCUGUGAUGCCCUUAGAUGUCCGGGGCCGCACGCGCGCUACACUGAAGUGAUCAGCGUGCUUUUUAUACCCUGCUCUGCCAAGAGUGGGUAACCCAAUGAACCUUCUUCGUGAUUGGGAUAGGGGAUUGUAAUUAUUCCCCUUGAACGAGGAAUUCCCAGUAAGCGCGAGUCAUAAGCUCGCGUUGAUUACGUCCCUGCCCUUUGUACACACCGCCCGUCGCUACUACCGAUUGAA